UACUUGUUAGUUGUCCAUCAUUCAGUUGGGCGACUCUAGCGAGACUGCCGGUAAUAAACCGGAGGAAGGUGGGGAUGACGUCAAAUCAUCAUGCCCCUUAUGACCUGGGCUACACACGUGCUACAAUGGUUGGUACAACGAGUUGCGAGUCGGUGACGGCGAGCUAAUCUCUUAAAGCCAAUCUCAGUUCGGAUUGUAGGCUGCAACUCGCCUACAUGAAGUCGGAAUCGCUAGUAAUCGCGGAUCAGCACGCCGCGGUGAAUACGUUCCCGGGCCUU
rnacentral:rRNA from 1 species